UAUUUUACCGCAGUCCCACUCUUUUUUUAUUUACUAUUUUCUCGCAGAGUGCAGCGUGCAGGUUAAUGAUGACGUGAUUAUCUUUUGACUCCCUGGCCCCGCCCCCGACACGGCACCUUGCAAGUUGCUCAAAAUAAAAAAAGUCAGAUAAAAAUGGAUAACAGGAAGCGCAAAGGCGGCGCUGAAAAGGCCAGAAUGAAAAAGAAGAAAGCUUUGGAAACUGACGCGGCCAAAUGUUCUAAGCUGAGCACAUUUUUCCUCAAAAAAAACAAAUGAAGACGACGAGGCCGCUCUUCAGCAGCAGCCGCCUCUAGUCCGGUUUGCUGCUAACAGUGAAGAGCAAGGCCCAGUAACGUUACCAAGCUCCAGUCAUGAGCCCAACACACCAGAAUGGGCAGGUAGGAUUGUCAUUCAGAAGAACUAAUAGUAAUGAAGAGCCCUGCUCAAUGAAAAAUGCCCUGAGAUAAUUAAUGAUACCUGAUGAUUCAGCAAUACAUUAAUGAAACUGACUUGACUUGAUUUGAAAGCUUUGUAAAAA